rnacentral:rRNA from 1 species
GGGUUGUGAGGUUAAGCGACUAAGCGUACACGGUGGAUGCCCUGGCAGUCAGAGGCGAUGAAGGACGUGCUAAUCUGCGAUAAGCGCCGGUAAGGUGAUAUGAACCGUUAUAACCGGCGAUUUCCGAAUGGGGAAACCCAGUGUGAUUCGUCACACUAUCAUUAACUGAAUCCAUAGGUUAAUGAGGCGAACCGGGGGAACUGAAACAUCUAAGUACCCCGAGGAAAAGAAAUCAACCGAGAUUCCCCCAGUAGCGGCGAGCGAACGGGGAGGAGCCCAGAGCCUGAAUCAGCAUGUGUGUUAGUGGAAGCGUCUGGAAAGGCGCGCGAUACAGGGUGACAGCCCCGUACACAAAAGCGCAUGUGCUGUGAGCUCGAUGAGUAGGGCGGGACACGUGGUAUCCUGUCUGAAUAUGGGGGGACCAUCCUCCAAGGCUAAAUACUCCUGACUGACCGAUAGUGAACCAGUACCGUGAGGGAAAGGCGAAAAAGAACCCCGGCGAGGGGAGUGAAAAAGAACCUGAAACCGUGUACGUACAAGCAGUGGGAGCACCCUUCGGGGUGUGACUGCGUACCUUUUGUAUAAUGGGUCAGCGACUUAUAUUCUGUAGCAAGGUUAACCGUAUAGGGGAGCCGGAGGGAAACCGAGUCUUAACCGGGCGUUAAGUUGCAGGGUAUAGACCCGAAACCCGGUGAUCUAGCCAUGGGCAGGUUGAAGGUUGGGUAACACUAACUGGAGGACCGAACCGACUAAUGUUGAAAAAUUAGCGGAUGACCUGUGGCUGGGGGUGAAAGGCCAAUCAAACCGGGAGAUAGCUGGUUCUCCCCGAAAGCUAUUUAGGUAGCGCCUCGUGAAUUCAUCUCCGGGGGUAGAGCACUGUUUCGGCUAGGGGGCCAUCCCGGCUUACCAACCCGAUGCAAACUGCGAAUACCGGAGAAUGUUAUCACGGGAGACACACGGCGGGUGCUAACGUCCGUCGUGAAGAGGGAAACAACCCAGACCGCCAGCUAAGGUCCCAAAGUCAUGGUUAAGUGGGAAACGAUGUGGGAAGGCCCAGACAGCCAGGAUGUUGGCUUAGAAGCAGCCAUCAUUUAAAGAAAGCGUAAUAGCUCACUGGUCGAGUCGGCCUGCGCGGAAGAUGUAACGGGGCUAAACCAUGCACCGAAGCUGCGGCAGCGACGCUGAUGCGUUGUUGGGUAGGGGAGCGUUCUGUAAGCCUGCGAAGGUGACCUGUGAGGGUUGCUGGAGGUAUCAGAAGUGCGAAUGCUGACAUAAGUAACGAUAAAGCGGGUGAAAAGCCCGCUCGCCGGAAGACCAAGGGUUCCUGUCCAACGUUAAUCGGGGCAGGGUGAGUCGACCCCUAAGGCGAGGCCGAAAGGCGUAGUCGAUGGGAAACGGGUUAAUAUUCCCGUACUUGGUGUUACUGCGAAGGGGGGACGGAGAAGGCUAUGUUGGCCGGGCGACGGUUGUCCCGGUUUAAGCGUGUAGGUGUGUGUUCCAGGUAAAUCCGGUUCACUUUAACACUGAGGCGUGAUGACGAGGCACUACGGUGCUGAAGCAACAAAUGCCCUGCUUCCAGGAAAAGCCUCUAAGCAUCAGGUAACAUCAAAUCGUACCCCAAACCGACACAGGUGGUCAGGUAGAGAAUACCAAGGCGCUUGAGAGAACUCGGGUGAAGGAACUAGGCAAAAUGGUGCCGUAACUUCGGGAGAAGGCACGCUGACACGUAGGUGAAGUGAUUUACUCACGGAGCUGAAGUCAGUCGAAGAUACCAGCUGGCUGCAACUGUUUAUUAAAAACACAGCACUGUGCAAACACGAAAGUGGACGUAUACGGUGUGACGCCUGCCCGGUGCCGGAAGGUUAAUUGAUGGGGUCAGCGCAAGCGAAGCUCCUGAUCGAAGCCCCGGUAAACGGCGGCCGUAACUAUAACGGUCCUAAGGUAGCGAAAUUCCUUGUCGGGUAAGUUCCGACCUGCACGAAUGGCGUAAUGAUGGCCAGGCUGUCUCCACCCGAGACUCAGUGAAAUUGAACUCGCUGUGAAGAUGCAGUGUACCCGCGGCAAGACGGAAAGACCCCGUGAACCUUUACUAUAGCUUGACACUGAACAUUGAGCCUUGAUGUGUAGGAUAGGUGGGAGGCUUUGAAGUGUGGACGCCAGUCUGCAUGGAGCCGACCUUGAAAUACCACCCUUUAAUGUUUGAUGUUCUAACGUGGACCCGUAAUCCGGGUUGCGGACAGUGUCUGGUGGGUAGUUUGACUGGGGCGGUCUCCUCCUAAAGAGUAACGGAGGAGCACGAAGGUUGGCUAAUCCUGGUCGGACAUCAGGAGGUUAGUGCAAUGGCAUAAGCCAGCUUGACUGCGAGCGUGACGGCGCGAGCAGGUGCGAAAGCAGGUCAUAGUGAUCCGGUGGUUCUGAAUGGAAGGGCCAUCGCUCAACGGAUAAAAGGUACUCCGGGGAUAACAGGCUGAUACCGCCCAAGAGUUCAUAUCGACGGCGGUGUUUGGCACCUCGAUGUCGGCUCAUCACAUCCUGGGGCUGAAGUAGGUCCCAAGGGUAUGGCUGUUCGCCAUUUAAAGUGGUACGCGAGCUGGGUUUAGAACGUCGUGAGACAGUUCGGUCCCUAUCUGCCGUGGGCGCUGGAGAACUGAGGGGGGCUGCUCCUAGUACGAGAGGACCGGAGUGGACGCAUCACUGGUGUUCGGGUUGUCAUGCCAAUGGCACUGCCCGGUAGCUAAAUGCGGAAGAGAUAAGUGCUGAAAGCAUCUAAGCACGAAACUUGCCCCGAGAUGAGUUCUCCCUGAGACUUAGAGUCUCCUGAAGGAACGUUGAAGACGACGACGUUGAUAGGCCGGGUGUGUAAGCGCAGCGAUGCGUUGAGCUAACCGGUACUAAUGAACCGUGAGGCUUAACCUUACAACGCCGAAG